AUCACUCUGUUGAAUUUUUUGUUCAACCAAUUUUUUGGGGUCAAAAUAGAGCCUUUUAAGUGAAAGCUUAAGCUUACCUCAAACCUAUCAAAGCCAUUCAUUAGUAGUGGUGGGGAGGAGGAGGUGAAGUGUAUAAGUAAUGAUGAGGUGGCGGUGGUGGCGGUGGGGAUUUGUAUUUGUAAGGGUGAUGUGGUGGUGGGUAGUGCGGUGGUGGUGGUGGUGGUGGGGAUUUGUAUUUGUAAGGGUGAUGCGGCGGUGGGUAGUGCACUGGUGGUGGUGGUGGUGGUGGUGAUGGUGGUGGUGGCGGUGGCGGUGGGGAUUUGUAUUUGUAAGGGUGAUGUGGUGGUGGGUAGUGCGGUGGUGGGUAGUGCACUGGUGGUGGUGGUGGUGGCGGUGGGGAUUUGUAUUUGUAAGGGUGAUGUGGUGGUGGGUAGUGCACUGGUGGUGGUGGUGUUUGUGGUGGUUGCUGUGGUUUUUUGUAUUUGUAAUUUAUUCGUGGUGGGUUGGUGAUUUGCGGUGGUGUGGUAGUUCACUUGUGGUGGUGCGGCGGCGGCGGGGACUUGUAUUUGUAAGGGUGAUGUGGUGGUGAGUAGUGCACGGGAGGCGGUGGUGGCGGGGGCGUGGACUUGUACUUGUAAGGUGUGCGUGGUGAGUAGUGCAUGGGUUGGCGGCGGCGGGGACCUUGUAUUUGUAAGGGUGAUGUGGUGUUAGUAGUGCACGGGUGGUGGCGGCGGCGCCGGCGGGGACUUGUAUUUGUAAGGGUGAUGUGUGGUUGAGUAGUGGCACGGGUGUGCGGUGGCGGCGGGGAUUUUGUAUUUGUAAGGUGAUGCGGUGGUGAGUAGUGCACGGGUGGUGGUGGUGGUGGUGGGGACUUAUAUUUGUAAGGGUGAUGCGGUGGUGAGUAGUGCACGGGUGGAGGCGGCGGCGGUGGGGACUUAUAUUUGUAAGGGUGAUGCGGUGGUAAGUAGUGCACUGGUGGCGGUGGUGGCGGUGAUUUGUAGUGAUAAGGAGGAGGUGGUGGUGGCGACUUGGGAGGUGGUGGAGGAGAUUUGUAGUAAUAAUUAGCAGUGGUUUCCAAUGGCAAAGUGAGAGACACUAUUGCCACUAGGAGAGUGGUGAUGAGAGAGGCCAUUUUAGGCCUCAUUCCUUUCGUUCCCAUCUUCACCACAAAAUCGAUUUUUGGUUAUGCUCUUAACCCUCCCUCUCCA
rnacentral:lncRNA from 1 species